GCCCAAACACUUUGGUUACCCUCCUGGGGCAUUGUGAAGGUGGUCCUGAGACGAUGCUUGUUUAUGAGUAUCUGCCCAACAAUAACCUUGAAUUCUUUCUCUUUGAUAAAGACAGAUCUUGGUGGCUGGACUAGAAAAGGCGAUUCAGAUCAUAAAAGGUGUGGCAAAUGGUCUUCUCUACCUCCAUGAAGAAGCUUUUAUAAGGAUUGUUGGUAGGAAUAUUGGAGCUUGUAAUGUGUUGCUAGAUAAGCAGUUUAAUCCAAAGAUUUCAGCACUUGGCCAGGCAAAGCUCUUUCCUUGGAACAUCAUCCAUAUUAACUGCAGGGUAUCUGGGACUAUAGAUUGUAAUCUGCGCCAGAGAGGAGAUAUGGUGACUACUUGAGUUACGCAAGUGAAUUUUCGUUAAUCCAUCUAUCGACUCACUUCAGCUAUAAUAAUGUCUUCUUGGCCUUAAUCAUGGAGGCUUUACAAAGAAGAUGAGGCCCUGGCAUUAAUCGAUUCAAGUCUUGCUUCAACGAGGCAGAAUUGUGCAUUGAGCUGGGAUUAUUUUGUUGCCAUGAAAUUGUUGAGCUGGUAUUUAAAUUCCAU